AUUGAACGCUGGCGGCAGGCCUAACACAUGCAAGUCGAACGGUAACAGGAAGAAGCUUGCUUCUUUGCUGACGAGUGGCGGACGGGUGAGUAAUGUCUGGGAAACUGCCUGAUGGAGGGGGAUAACUACUGGAAACGGUAGCUAAUACCGCAUAACGUCGCAAGACCAAAAAGGGGGACCUUCGGGCCUCUUGCCAGCGGAUGUGCCCAGAUGGGAUUAGCUAGUAGGUGGGGUAACGGCUCACCUAGGCGACGAUCCCUAGCUGGUCUGAGAGGAUGACCAGCCACACUGGAACUGAGACACGGUCCAGACUCCUACGGGAGGCAGCAGUGGGGAAUAUUGCACAAAGGGCGCAAGCCUGAUGCAGCCAUGCCGCGUGUAUGAAGAAGGCCUUCGGGUUGUAAAGUACUUUCAGCGGGGAGGAAGGGAGUAAAGUUAAUACCUUUGCUCAUUGACGUUACCCGCAGAAGAAGCACCGGCUAACUCCGUG
rnacentral:rRNA from 1 species